AUUGAACGCUGGCGGCAGGCCUAACACAUGCAAGUCGAGCGGAGAUGAGGUGCUUGCACCUUAUCUUAGCGGCGGACGGGUGAGUAAUGCUUAGGAAUCUGCCUAUUAGUGGGGGACAACAUUCCGAAAGGAAUGCUAAUACCGCAUACGCCCUACGGGGGAAAGCAGGGGAUCUUCGGACCUUGCGCUAAUAGAUGAGCCUAAGUCGGAUUAGCUAGUUGGUGGGGUAAAGGCCUACCAAGGCGACGAUCUGUAGCGGGGCUGAGAGGAUGAUCCGGCACACUGGGACUGAGACACGGCCCAGACUCCUACGGGAGGCAGCAGUGGGGAAUAUUGGACAAUGGGCGGAAGCCUGAUCCAGCCAUGCCGCGUGUGUGAAGAAGGCCUUUUGGUUGUAAAGCACUUUAAGCGAGGAGGAGGCUACCUGGAUUAAUACUCUAGGAUAGUGGACGUUACUCGCAGAAUAAGCACCGGCUAACUCUGUGCCAGCCGCCGCGGUAAAAC
rnacentral:rRNA from 1 species